GUGUCAGCAGCCGCGGUAAUACGAAGGGGGCUAGCGUUGUUCGGAAUUACUGGGCGUAAAGCGCACGCAGGCGGUUCGAUUAGUCAGAAGUGAAAGCCCCGGGCUCAACCUGGGAACUGCUUUUGAUACUGUCGAGCUUGAAUCACGGAGAGGGUAGUGGAAUUCCGAGUGUAGAGGUGAAAUUCGUAGAUAUUCGGAAGAACACCAGUGGCGAAGGCGACUACCUGGCCGUCGAUUGACGCUCAUGUGCGAAAGCGUGGGGAGCAAACAGGAUUAGAAACCCCGGUAGUCC
rnacentral:rRNA from 1 species